UUGUCUUUUAAAUAAAGACCAGUAUGAAUGGCAAGACGAAAGUUCAACUGUCUCCCUAAAUUAAUCAAUGAAAUUGAUCUUCCCGUGCAGAAGCGGGAAUAUAAUUAUAAGACGAGAAGACCCUAUGGAGCUUUAAAUAUAUGAUCAAUUGGAUAACAUAUAAACCAAAAGGUAAAAAAUUAAAUAAAACAUAGUGAUCAAAAUUUUAGGUUGGGGCGACCACGGAGAAAAACAAAACCUCCGAGAUGAAAAAUCUUAACUUAUGAACUACAGUUCUAAAAAAUAAAAUAUUUAACAUAAUUGAUCCAAUAUAUUGAUCAACGAACCAAGUUACCCUAGGGAUAACAGCGCAAUCCUUUCCAAGAGUUCCUAUCGACGAAUGGGUUUACGACCUCGAUGUUGGAUCAGGACACCCCGAUGGUGUAGCCGCUAUUAAAGGUUCGUUUGUUCAACGAUUAAAGU
rnacentral:rRNA from 1 species